ensembl:lncRNA
CUUUCUCAGGUCUAGGCAGAUCCAUUCUAGCCUGAUCCCAGAUCUGUUUGUGCUGUCUUGCUAAACACAAACAUACGAGUUGUCAAGACAGCACAACUGAUCUGGGACAAGGUAGAUCUAUUCAUUUUGUAUGUGCUACUGAUGUUGUUAACACUCCAUGAUACUACACAGCUCAACUCAAUAUCACUCAGCCAUGUUUUCAUUUUUUAUAUUAUAUAUAUUUUUUUCAUUUUUCAUUUUUUUUGUGUUAUAUAUUUUUUUAAGGCACUUUCAGAGUCAUUUUGAUUAUUCUUUGCUGAGGUAAAUAUGUGAAAUUGUGAAUCCCAAAGUUUUCUACAUUGAGGAAAUACAGUAUACAUAUUGACCAUAUGUAGAUUGAGUGUUGGAAAACAAAGAUGUGUAAUACUAGGCAUCUGUCUUUUCACUGCAUAGGAGAACGGUAUAUAUGGCUGCCAUAAGUUAUCAGGAAGCAAUUUAGAUUUCUCUGUAGAUUUCUGACUGGCAAUAGCAGCCAAAACCACAUUUCCAUCAGUUUUAUUUCUGAGCUGGUUAUCCUUCCUAGUGUAAAUACUUGUUGUUAUAAAUUGUUCCUAGAAGAUGGAAUGUUUUGCAGCAGACUAAUCAAAUGCCAUCCAUUUCUCACAAGAGGGCCAAAAUUAUGCGUAGAAUUCGAAGGCUGUGUCCACACUGAUAAGAGAGAAAAUGAAAAAAAUGUAAUUAAAAAAAGAUUUAUACGGUUGCACUGAACGCAUCACAUGACCGGCUAUCUCCAUAUUGCUCCUAGGUCAUAGCUAACAUUGUAAAGAUCCCUCUUGAAUUAUGGGCUCGUGCAAUAACUUAUUAGUUUUGAUAUGAAUGAAUCUGAAUCAAACACGAACAGCUGGACACGUGGGCGAUAGAUGUACACGCAGACAACGACGCAGUUAAGGCUAUGGAUGGAUGGAUGCUAGUGUCAAACACUGUCCAAAUAUUUAUGAUCUUUUGCAGACUGUUUCAAAACAGUUAUCUGAUGUCUGCAUGCAUUGUAUUGUCUAUGAUUUCUCAGUUCCAACAGAGAAGUUUUCAUUUAUAUUGUUUUUUUCUGUACACUUAAAAAAAAAACAUUGUUCAUCAGACUAGUUAUUUCCGGUUCUUCCAUUCCACAAUGUCCUGGUUUUAUGAGUCAUGAAAAAAUAUACAAUUGAUGUGUUUUUAUGCAAUAUUAUUAGUUACACAUACUUUUACAUCUUACAGUAUUCUGACUGGAUCUGAUUACUUUUGUUCAUGUUUCUGUUCAGAGAAUUCCCUUGUUUGGCCUUUUGUAACUCUCAAGACAUAGAUAAUAAAGGACUUAAAUGCAGAUAGUUUGUUUAUCAUACAGUAAAUAAACUGGUUUAAAUGUCAGACGUUCUCCAUUUCACCUGUAUUGGGUUAAAGCUGCAAUCUGAGAUGUUUGCUGCAAUUUUUGGUCAAUCCUCAAUGGGCAGAAAGACAAAUCCCACAUUGUAGAUUUAACCCUACAGUAACCUGAAUCCAUUUCAGAUGUUUUCAUUUCAAAAGGAGAAGAUUAAAAGGGCUGAAAUCUUUGGGCCAAUCUGCCUGUUUAGCAUUUUUUUUAUGCCCUGAAGGCUAAUCUCUCCCUCCUAUAUGACGGCGUUAUCUAAAUCAUUACCCACAGCACCUUUCAAAAACCCUCCAAUGUUGUCCUCUGUAGAAUCCUUUUGUCUGGAUGGACACACAUUGACUAUAAUACAGUGAGAUUCACACCACAAUCCCCAUCCAGGAUAGUUUCAUGGCAAUUUCACAGCAGUAAUUCCAUAAACACCUCUUAUUCCAAGAUGCUCAAAUUGUAGCAUUUAUUGUCCUGUUUAACCUUUUAAUGAAAAAAUAAAUGACUUAUUUUAUAAGGG